AGCAGCCGCGGUAAUUCCAGCUCCAAUAGCGUAUAUUAAAGUUGUUGCAGUUAAAAAGCUCGUAGUUGAAUUUCGGGGUCAGUAGAUUGGUCAUGCCACUGGUAUGUACUGGUCUCACUGAUUCCUCCUUCCUGAUGAGCCGUAAUGCCAUUAAUUUGGUGUUGCGAGGAAUCUGGACUGUUACUUUGAAAAAAUUAGAGUGUUUAAAGCAGGCUAACGCUUGAAUACAUUAGCAUGGAAUAAUGAAAUAGGACGUUCGAUCUUAUUUUGUUGGUUUCUAAGAUUGACGUAAUGGUUAAUAGGGAUAGUUGGGGGCAUUAGUAUUCAAUUGUCAGAGGUGAAAUUCUUGGAUUUAUUGAAGACUAACUACUGCGAAAGCAUUUGCCAAGGAUGUUUUCUAUUAAUACAAGAAACGAAAGUUAAGGGGAGUCGAAGACGAUCAGAUACCGUCGUAGUCUUAACCAUAAACUAUGCCGACUAGGGAUCGGAUGAUGUUAAUUUUUUAAUGUACUCU
rnacentral:rRNA from 1 species